CUACGGGUUGCUGCAGUGGGGAAUAUUGCGCAAUGGGGGAAACCCUGACGCAGCGACGCCGUGUGAGUGAUGAAGGUUUUCGGAUCGUAAAGCUCUGUCAGGUGGGAAGAAUAAAGGGUGUGUGAAUAAUGCACUCUGAUGACGGUACCACCAGAGGAAGCACCGGCUAACUCCGUGCCAGCAGCCGCGGUAAUACGGAGGGUGCAAGCGUUGUUCGGAAUUACUGGGCGUAAAGCGCGUGUAGGCGGGCGUGCAGGUCAGAUGUGAAAUCCCUCGGCUCAACCGAGGAAGUGCAUCUGAAACCGCAUGUCUUGAGUACGAGAGAGGCAGAUGGAAUUCCCAGUGUAGAGGUGAAAUUCAUAGAUAUUGGGAAGAACACCGGUGGCGAAAGCGGUCUGCUGGCUCGAUACUGACGCUGAGACGCGAAAGCGUGGGGAGCAAACAGGAUUAGAUACCCCCGUAGUC
rnacentral:rRNA from 1 species